AUUGUAAAAUUUACCUCAGACAAGCCCGGGACCCCGAGAGAGAAGGCAGCUCGGCCUGGCAGCCAUUCUGAAGACCUGGUUCGGAAGAAAGAAAGAAAAAAAGAAAGAAAGAAGGAAAGCAAGGGCAGCCGUGGCUGGAAGGCCCCGAGGAGACAGGCGGGGAAGGCGGGCUCUCCUCAGGCCACUCACAGCCAGGCUCCGUUUCCGAUACAGAGAAAUGGCCAAGCCUUGUGAAACGGAUGGAAGAAAUAAAGGCAAAAUUUUUGAAAAUUUCCACAGCUUUUUCUAAAGGGACCAGCGCUGAAUUCAAGUCAACGUGAAGAAACAAAAGGUCAAGAGACAGAGGACGGAAGAUGCUUGAAGACACCCUCGCAAGGACACCGCCUGCCUCCCAAAAAAGGUCGUUUUCAGGGUAAUUGCUGUAAGGGUAGGCAUUUAAUGUCUAUCUUUGCAUUAAAAAAAGGGUUACCUUUGCACACGGUUCCCCUCGCGUGUGGCAUCGAAGAAGUCCCACUCGGGAACGGACGGGUCCUCCCUUUGUUCUAGGCAGAUGAUGGGUCUUCCUAUACGGGCCGUAGGGGUCACAGCUUGGGGGUCAGCGGGGGGGCCCGCCCUGGCAUCGCGGGGGGCAGCACACGUUACGGGCAUUUUAAGAUGUCCUUGCAACUUAGAAAUAAAAAUAUCAAUACCUUAACUCACUUACUAACAUCCUACUAACACCAUUCUAAAUAGGGUACCCUGCCCUUUUAAAUAGGACUGUGUUCUGCCUGAUGGCAAGAACCAAGCUGGGAAGGGAGGGGGCCUCCUGGCCCCCCAUAAAAGGGCCCCCAUGGAAGGACAUUGCAAAAGGCCCCUAAGGUGUCCUGAGAGCAGCCUCUUGGUCCUCAGUGUUCCCCACGGAGCCAGGUCUGGGCCCCUCGCUCUCCCCCAACCCAUGGACCCUGCCGCUUGUAUAUCAUCCGUCCAGGGCCAACGGACGCCCCCUCCCUCCCUCCCCGGGCGGAGCUUCGAGGCCACACUCAAGGGGAGACCAGAGCCGUGUGCCUCAUGCCAACGCCUAGCACGUGGCGAACCUUUUUUUUUUACUGCAAACAUAGGCAUCAUGAUUGUGAUUUUUGUUAAUUCCUUUUAAAUUUAAUUGUUUGUAUUUGAUAGCAUGGUAGGCUGGUUUUAUAUCAGUGAGCCGCCCCGAGUCCCUCUGGGGAGACGGUGGCAGGGUACAAAAAUAAAAUUAUUAUUAUUAUUAUUGAUUCGAGGCACCUGGAAAAAGAAAUACCAGGAAGCAGAUAAAAUUAUUAUUAUUAUUACUGAUUCGAGGCACCUGGAAAAAGAAAUACCAGGAAGCAGAUAUUAUUAUUAUUAUUAUUAUUAUUAUUAUUGAUUCCAGGAAAAAGAAAUACCAGGAAGCAGAUAAAAUUAUUAUUAUUGUUAUUGUUGUUGUUAUUAUGUAGGACCCCCUUUUAUUUAUGUAAGGCCACACACCCAGGGGACCACUAUUCCUAAUUAAAGCCUGGUUAAAGGGGAUCCUCUAUUCUUAAAGUUAGGCGUAUAGAGAUCUCCUAUCCAGAAACUAACGCGGCCUGCCCUAUAGAGAUCUGUUAAACCAAGGCGGCCUGCCCUAUAGAGAUCUCCUAUUUCACGUAAUACCAGGCAAUAUGGAGAUCCCUGGUUUUUUUUAACCGUUAAAUCCCUUACGUGGGGAAAUCCCUGGUUAUUUUAACCAUUAAAUCCCUUACGUGGGGAGAUCCCUGGUUAUUUUAACCUUUAAGUCCCUAACGUGGGGAAAUCCCUGGUUUUUUUAAUCUUUAAGGCCAGAUGUGGGGAUUUCCUUGCUUCUUUUAACCCGUAAGGCCAGCCAUGGGGAGAUAUCUUAGGCUGUUUUCACGAAAAAUCAGGUAUAGAUGCACUGUUUUCUCUCCCGUUCCAUGUGCCUGGACUCCCGGAGGGCUCCUGCCGGACACCGUCUCCCAUCGGCCGAGAGGGAUCCUUCUUGUCUGGGAAGGAUCUGCAACACAGGUAAAAAGAAGAUUCCGGGAAGGAGAUUCCUACAGCGGAGCCCUAAAGCCAGGUGAGACGUUCCUUCCAACCUCCACGGCUGCUUUGCACACACACACAUGACACACACAUGACACACACACACACGCAUAUACAGCUGGGGGCCCUCAGGGACUCUCCCCCCAAUAGAUCGGGGACUCCCACUCCGGCAAUUGGCCAUUGGAAAUGCCUUGAAGCAGUUUGGGGCUUCCGGCCAAGCGCUUGCAAAGAGAAUCCAUUCAAGGUUGGACCCCCUUUUAAAGGGCCUGGCACGUGGUAUUUAUUCCUGGCACGUGGAAAACUCCAUUUGUAAGGCAAACCCUCGUUAAAGGAGGUUUGCAAUUAAUUUAAAACCAGGCUUCUGAGGGACCCGCUGUGUUUAAAGCCAAACCUAGCAGGUGGGAACCCCUUUGGUUAACGUAAGGCGAGGGACCCUCCAUAUUUAAUAAGAUGCCUGGCAGAAUCUUAACCUAAAUGCAGGCCUAUGGGCUACAGCCUAUUCUGCAUAGCCAGGCAUGGGGGGACCCCAGAUUAUUAACUUGAGGCCUGGGAAAAGGAGAUUUUUGUAUUUAUUUAUUACAAUAUUUAUAUCCCGCCCUCUCUCCCCUUAAAAGGGGACUCAGAGCAGCUUACGUUAUAUUUACAUAUUUAUUUAUUACAAUAUUUAUAUCCCGACCUCUCCCCUUAAAAGGGGACUCAGAGUGGCUUACAAGUGAUAUUUACAUAUUUAUUUAUUACAAUAUUUAUAUCCCGCCCUCUCUCCCCUUAAAAGGGGACUCAGAGCGGCUUACAAGUGAUAUUUACAUAUUUAUUUAUUACAAUAUUUAUAUCCGGCCCUCUCUCCCCUUAAAAGGGGACUCAGAGCGGCUUACAAGUGAUAUUUACAUAUUUAUUUAUUACAAUAUUUAUAUCCCGCCCUCUCUCCCCUUAAAAGGGGACUCAGAGCGGCUUACAAGUGAUAUUUACAUAUUUAUUUAUUACAAUAUUUAUAUCCCGCCCUCUCUCCCCUUAAAAGGGGACUCAGCGGCUUACAAGUGAUAUUUACAUAUUUAUUUAUUACAAUAUUUAUAUCCCUCGCUCUCUCUCCUUAAAAGGGGACUCAGGGCGGCUUAACAAUAAGACGCAUAUAUAAAAAACCAUACAGUGCAAUAUAAAUCAUCAUUAACUUACAUCAGUAUUCAUAAAACACAUUAUAAAAUACAGAUAGGUGUGUUCAGUUCAAAUCCAUUCAAGGUAUACGUGGACCCCCUUUUAAUGCCAACCUUUCCAUGUGGAAAACUCCAUUUGUAAGGCAAACCCUCGUUAAAGGAGGUUUGCAAUUAAUUUAAAACCAGGCUUCUGAGGGACCCGCUGCGUUUAAAGCCAAACCUAGCAGGUGGGAACCCCUUUGGUUAACGCAAGGUGAGGGACCCUCUAUUUUUAAUAGGAUGCCUGGGAGAAUCUUAACCUAAAUGCAGGCCUAUGGGCUACAGCCUAUUCUGCAUAGCCAGGCAUGGGGGGACCCCAUAUGAUGAAUUUGAAGCCUGGUAAAAGGAGAUUUUUGUAUUUAUUAACUUAUUACAUUUAUAUCCCGCCCUCUCUCCCCUUAAAAGGGGACUCAGAGCGGCUUACGAGUUAUAUUUACAUAUUUAUUUAUUUAUUACAAUAUUUAUAUCCCACUGUCUCCCCUUAAAGGGGACUCAGAGCGGCUUACGAGUUAUAUGUACAUAUUUAUUUAUUUAUUACAAUAUUUAUAUCCCGCUGUCUCUCCCCUUAAAGGGGACUCAGAGCGGCUUACAAGUUAUAUUUACAUAUUUAUUUAUUUAUUACAAUAUUUAUAUCCCGCCCUCUCUCCCCUUAAAGGGGACUCAGGGCAGCUUAACAAUAAAACGCAUAUAUAAAAACCAUACAGUGCAAUAUAAAUCAUCAUUAACUUACAUCAGUAUUCAUAAAACACAUCAUAAAAUACAGAUAGGUGUAUUACAUACACUGUAUCAUUAGCAUCACACAAUAUUAGCAUUAUAUACUACAUUGCAUUAUACCACUAUACAGAAACAUUAUUAGCAAUAUUACAUUUAAUAUAUAAUAUGUAAUUCAUAUUAUUAUAUUGUAUCAUUGUUAGUAUUAUAUUGCAUUAUUUAUUUAUUUGCUAGAUGUAUAUGCUGCCCUUCUCGCCCCCAAGGUGAACGGCUUACAAAUUAAAUUUACAUACAAUAUUAUAUUAUUACCAUAGUACAAUACUGGCAGUAAAUUACUAUAUUGUACUAUAUGAAUAUAUGGUAAUAUUAUUAGUAGUAUUACAUGCAAAAUGUAAUACAUAAUUAAUAUUAUUAUAUUUAAUUAUUAGUAUAUCGUUUUACAAUAUAAUAUGAACAUUAUAUGUAUAUGCAAUAUGUUAUAAUUAUAUAUUAAAUUUUAUAUAUAUACAUAUAUAUGUAUAUAUACAUACAUAUAUAUAUACACACAGUAGAGUCAUCCAACAUAAAUGGGCCAGCGAAUAUUUAUUUAUUUAUUUAUUUACAGCAUUUUACCGGGCUGGCCUCGAACUCAUGACCUCCUGGUCAGAGUGAUUUGUUGAUAUUUAUUACUCAUUUACAGCAUUUAUAUUCCGCCCUUCCUUCUCACCCCGAAGGGGACUCAGGGCGGAUCACAUGACACAUAUAGGCAAACAUUCAAUGCCUUUUAACAUAGAACAAAGACAAACAAACAGGCUCCGAGCCGGGCCUCGAACUCGUGACCUCCUGGUCAGAGUGAUUCAUUGCAGUUAAUUGCAGCUGGCUUGCUUUCCAGCCUGCGCUGUUGGAUAAUAAGGAGGCAUUAUGGAAAAGCCUAUUAAACAUCAAAUUAGUUGAUGAUUUUACAAAUUAAGCACCAAAACAUCAUUUGACAGAAAAAGUAGUUCAAUAUGCAGUAAUGCUAUGUAGUAAUUAUUGUAUUUACGGAUUUAGCACCAAAAUAUCACGACGCAUUGAAAACAUGGACUACAAAAAUGCGUUGAAUAAUCCAGAAUGUUGGAUAAGAGAGUGUUGGAUGAGACUACUGUAUAUACAAUAUAAAUUAGAAUAGCAUGUUAUUGGGGGAGGAGCAUCUUGGUUAUUAGAUGUUUUUAUUAGUUAUUGAUAUUAGUAUAGAUAUGACAUUGAGUAUAUAUUAUCCUAGCACAAUGUUAAUAUUAGUUAUUCAUAUUAGUCUCAAUAUGACAUUAAUAGAGUACAUUAUUAUCCUAGCACAAUGUUAUUAGAUGUUAAUAUUAGUUAUUGACAUUAGUCUCCAUAUGACAUUAAUAGAGUAUAUUAUUAUUCUAGCACAAUGUUAUUACAUAGGACCAUGUUGUUGCUAGGGGGAGGGCCCCCCCACUGAUUGUAUUAUUAGUAUUAUGUUGUUGCUAGGGGGAGGGCCCCCCAACUGAGAUCCCCUGUCAUUAAUGUGUCAGACCAGGCAUUUCACUCCUACCUUUGCAUCAGAAAGCAGGCUCCCUGUGCGCUAGGCCUUCCUUUGAGGAACACAUUCAUUCACGGCUCCGCUUGAGUGUGGCAUUGAGGCCCCACUCAGGGACGGGCGGGUCCUCCCUUUGCCCUGGGCAGAUCGUGGGGGGUGGGCGGAUCUCCCUAGAUGGGCAGGGGGUCGCGGCUGGCGGGACAGCGGGAUAUAAAAAUAUAAAUAUAUAUAUUAAAACCCUUGCACCCAAGGAAACAACUCUGGGGACCCGAGCGGCUGCUCCCAGCUCACGUCACGGGCAUUUUAAACAUCUCGUAGCAGCUCAGAUUAAUACCUGAACUAACCUUAACCUGCUAACCCUACUAACCCAUUUCUAACUAGAGCAGGAAUUUUAAAUAGGGCUGUUUUUGCCUGUUGGCAAGAACCAAGCUGGGAGGGGGCCUCCGGGCCUCGGGUGGGAAGAACCCUAACCCUGUCCCUGCCCUGCGCUGGGAGCGCCCCCCCCCUCGGGACCCCAGUGUUUGGUCCCCGCUCCCCCCCAAUCCGACGGCCUAGAAAGCCCCUCCGCCAUCCGCCCAGGGCCAACGGACAGCCCUCCCUCCCUCCCCGGCAGCCGCGUUCCUCAUGCAACAGGGAGCCUGGUUCUGGAUGCAAACGUGGGACCCCCUUAGGACCCCCUUUUCUCUGUGCAGGGACCCCCGCUCCCCAUAAAUAAAUGCCUGGUGGAAGGGGAUCCUAGUAGAAAAAGCCACAGUUCCCAAGAGCCCCCAAAAGCGAGAUGCUCCCUUGGUUCAGCCCUUCUGACCCUUGUUUUCUCCCUUGUUCUAUGUCUCCGGAAUCGCCGAGGGAGGGAGGGGCUCCUCCUGGACAAGAGCCAAGGACGGACAGAUGGACGGACGGACGGACGGAAGGAGAUCCCAGAGAGCAGGACGCCUUGCCGUUCUGGCUGCUGAGCUCGACCCCUUUCCAACAAUGUUAGCGUUCCAGAAUAAAACUCUUCCCAAAAAAAGGUGUUUUCUGGUUAUUAUUCAAACGUUUAAUUUUUGGCAGCCUUAAACAUCUAGAUUACAAUACAGUUUGUGCUGCUGCCUUUUAUAAACCUUGUUUUCUACAAAUAAAGUCAAGAGAAACACUAUAAGUUUUGCACUGUGCUCAGACUCAUUGUUCUGAUAUUCUGUUAUAUGGUUUUAUUAUUUAUAUCAUUUUAAUGUAUGACUUUAUUACAUGUGACAUGGGAGCGGGGUAUAAAAAUAAAGUAUUAUUAUUAAUAAACACCACCAUUUUCUUGCACCCCAAGUACAUCUGGCCAUUGCCAAAGAGUAUUUAACUCUGCCUACAUGGCACUAAAGUGUAUUUAUAUGUUGAUUGUUUCUAUUGAUUUUAUGUAAUGUUUGCUUUAUUUGCAUUGAAUUUUUGUCUGGAUGUAUCUUGUAUGCCGCUCAUCUCCAUAAAUGAGCGGGAUAGAAAUGAGGUUAAUAAUUUUACGAAUGUUUUAAUGUAACUUGAAUUUUAAAUUGAGUUGAAAUGUGAUUGUAAUUGUUUAUAAGUGUUAUCUAUUUGUAAGGCACCCUGAGUCUCCUCUUAUUGGGUGAGAAGGUCUGGGAAGAAAUACUGUCAUAAAUAAAUAAAAUAUUCUGUGUCCAGGUUGCUUCAUGGGUUGACUUCUCUGGCAGGAUUAAUCUGCAGGGCCUUUCCUGUGGGAAAGUUUACACAGGGACUAACAAGCAUGGAGCAGGGAAGGCACUGCAGACACUCCUGCGCAUGCGUGGCCUGCUCCCUGGUAGAAACUUGGCCCCGCCCACUACAACCAUCCUUUUCCCUUCUGCGGCUGCGCGGCUUGUUCCGUAUUUGAGGGAACUUGGCCCCGCCCACUACAGGCACCCCUUGCCCUUCUGCGGCUGCGCGGCCUGUUCCAUAUUUGGGGGAACUUGGCCCCCGCCCACUGCAGGCAUUCCCUGCCCUUCUGCGUCUGCGCGGCCUCCGUCACAGGGCGGCAAGAUGGUUGCCCGGCCCGGUCCAUGGAUGUGUCAGGGUUGGCGACGGAAGGGACGGGUUGCGUGAUGGACCUGCCGGGACUUGGGGGCGGGGCAAGGGGCGUGGCCUGGCGCGUGAGGGAGGGAGGGAGGAGGGGGGAGAGCCGGGGAAGGGAACAGCCAAGAUGGCGGCCGGGGCAUCUAAUUGUGCCGGUGUUGUAAGCUGCCCUGAGUCCCUUCGGCAGUGGCCCAUGUACAUGCUGGACUACGGCGGCCUCAACGUUCCGGUUCCGGGAGCCAUGAAUUAUUCGGACCUCAGUUUCUGAACCAGGACCUCCGAACAAAACAAAACAAAUAAUGAACGGCAUGUAAUUUUCGUUUGUACAAAGUGUAUAUUAUUCCAAUAUGUAUUGAUGCCUUUUAGUUUUUCCAAUGAUUUUUACACUAUAUUCCUGCCGCCAGGGCCUUUUUAAAUAAAAAAAGAAUAAGAAGGGUUGCCUUGCUCUGAAAAAUCAAA